rnacentral:rRNA from 1 species
GUGAGGAAUAUUGGUCAAUGGUCGGGAGACUGAACCAGCCAAGCCGCGUGAGGGAUGAAGGUACAGAGUAUCGUAAACCUCUUUUGUCAGGGAACAAAGGCGGGGACGCGUCCCCGGAUGAGUGUACCUGAAGAAAAAGCAUCGGCUAACUCCGUGCCAGCAGCCGCGGUAAUACGGAGGAUGCGAGCGUUAUCCGGAUUUAUUGGGUUUAAAGGGUGCGCAGGCGGUCUGUUAAGUCAGCGGUCAAAGCCCGGGGCUCAACCCCGGCCCGCCGUUGAAACUGGCAGUCUCGAGUUGGAGAGAAGUAUGCGGAAUGCGCGGUGUAGCGGUGAAAUGCAUAGAUAUCGCGCAGAACUCCGAUUGCGAAGGCAGCAUGCCGGCUCCACACUGACGCUGAGGCACGAAAGCGUGGGUAUCGAACAGGAUUAGAAACCCUAGUAGUCC